GUAGCUGCACGUGGUUGUGCCAGAGAAAUAAAGAAGGUAACACAGAGACAGCAAGGGAGAAGUAGUGGGGCUUGGCCAGCUAAGCCUCUCUAUCCCUAGCAUUGGAGUCUCAGGUUAGUGCGCACUGAUUGAUGCCAGCCAGUAUUCAAGAAGAUCUUUUGGAAGAAAUUUUACCUUGUGCUUGAGUGAGCAGUUCUGCAUCCCCUCUGUUGUGAUUACACAAGUGUGUGUGGCUCAGCAGUAUAAUCUGAGAACCCUCACUACAAAAUAAAAAAAAGUUCUCAUAUCUAAAAACCAUAGAUUCUUUAACAGACAACAUAGAAUAAAAGGAGGUCAGGACCUCCAGAAAUCUUUCCAUUGCAUCAUCCUUCUGUGUUGGACAUUUCACAACAUUCCAGGCAAGGAUUCCAGCUCUUCACCACUUUUUUAGGUAGGAAAGCUUUUGUAGCUUUUUUUUUUUUUGCUGUAAUUUAAGCCCUUAUACUUAUGGUAGGUAGUGUAAACAGCAACAAAAAAUCUUCCCUCUCCUUUUGCAAGAGCAUUAUGCUUGUGAGGAAUAGCAUGUCCCUUUUCCAGCCUUCUCUUCUUGAAGCCGAACAAUCAAAUUACUUCCAUCUUUUACAAUAAGCAUAUUCUAAAUCUCUGCUCAUCAUCAUUACUCUCUGCAUUCUCAGCUAGUUAAUAUUCUUCUUUGACUGUAAUGCCUAGAUGAGGCAGAAUAUUUCGGUUGAAACCCUACCAUUGUUGAGUACAGCAAGAAGCUUAUUUAACACAUCUUGUAGGUUCUACUCCUGCUUAGAAAUCCUAAUGUGAUGUUUUUUCUUUUUUUUCACAGUAGCAUGAUAGUGUUGACUCAUGCUUAACUUGUCUAUCCCAUGGACUCUUAAGAAGAAAUGUCACUAUCCAGUUGUUUUCUGUCCUGUAUUUGUGCAGCUGUUUAUUCUUGUCCAAAUGAAGAAUUUAUCCCUCCUGAACAGUGAUCGGGCGGGAAUGGGAUCCAUCUUCACCCUCCUGUAAAAUCUUUGCCAACACUUUUUGUGUUUCUUAUUGCCAAACCCACAGCAUACUCAAGGACUAGCUGUUCUUCAGAUUAGUCUUUUAUUUUUUAAGAAGGCAAGGGAGUAGGGUGUUCAAUGAGUACCAACUCUAUUAGCAAAUAGAAGGAGAAGAUAGAAGGAUCUCCUCAAUUUGUGUGGUAAACUCUAUAAAUUCUGUUUUGUUUAACCAGAGAUUAAGCCCAAAUGUGAAGCAAACAGGGUUAAGAAGAAAAAGGCAAAAGCUGACAUUGAUUAAACUUUGGCAAAGUUCCAUGACGUCAAGCAGACGAUUAAAAUUUUAGUCAGGAAAAUAUAUUUCCAGCAUGUUUAGGUUUUCUCUGUGUUUUCUUGCAAUGCAAUCAUAACUUCUGGUACAAGGAGAUGAUUAUGAAGAAAACAUCUUUUUCUAGUAUUUUAUAAAUAUAAGUUUAUGAAGUUCUUAGCUUAUAUUUAAUAACCAAAAGUAAAUAAGCAGAUCCUCAGCAAUUUAUUUUGGAACCAGAACCUGUGCUGAACACUCUUGAGAGUAUCGUAGAAUAAAAAUAUGUAUAAAUAGAAGU
ensembl:lncRNA